GAGUUGUUAAAGGAAUAUACAGUAUUGUACCUGAGGAAAGUUAGCGUACUAACUACAAAGAGGAUGUUUAUCUGCAAUCAACAGUUAGAAUUCAACAAAAUGGAGCACUUCACUCUCGCCUGCAUGGAUUGCUUGAAGGUCUACAGUGGAUACAACCUACUGGCUCUCCACUCAGCCUUGGACAAUCUGGACAACAUCAAUAUCUAUGUUAGACUGCUGUUUAAUUGAUCGCAACACAGCAUUCAACACCAUCAUCCCCUCAAGCUUCAAAACCUGGACCUCUGUAUCUCCCUCUGCAACCGGAUCCUCUACUUCCACAGCGGGAGACCACAGUCAGUGUGGAUCUGAAAUAACAUCUUCUCCUUGCUGACAAUCAAUGCAGGCGCUCCUUAGGGUUGUGUGCUUAACCCGCUGCUCACUGACUGCAUGGCUAGGCACAGCUCAAACACCACCUAUAAAUUCGCUGAUACUGUAAUACAACUAUUGUCAGCAGAAUCUCAGAUGGUGAUGAGGAGACUGGAGUGAGAUAGAUUGGCUAGUUGAUCUUAGUGAAUGGUGGAGCAGGAAUUUAAAGUUACUGACCCUCUCUGCCUCCCAUACCCUAAUGAUGACCUGCUCAAUGGAGCUUUGAUUUCUUCCUCCUGUGGUAAAUCAUCAGCUCUUUGGUCUUGCUGACAUUAAGCGAGAGGUUGUUGUUAUGGUACUAUUCAACCAGAUUUCCAAUCUCCCUCUGAUAUCCCAACUUAUCAUAAUUCAUGUUCACUCAUUACCCCUAUUCUUAUUGACCUGGUCCCAAAAAGUAUCAAAAUGUAGAGAUAAACAUGAGAAAGUCCGCAGUGUUGGAAAAUCCAGAGCAACAUAUACACAAAAUG